GACGAACGCUGGCGGCGGGCUUAACACAUGCAAGUCGAACGGAAAGGCCCUGCUUUUGUGGGGUGCUCGAGUGGCGAACGGGUGAGUAACACGUGAGUAACCUGCCCUUGACUUUGGGAUAACUUCAGGAAACUGGAGCUAAUACCGGAUAGGAGCUCCUGUUGCAUGGUGGGGGUUGGAAAGUCUCGGCGGUCGGGGAUGGACGCGCGGCUUAUCAGCUUGUUGGUGGGGUAGUGGCUUACCAAGGCUUUGACGGGUAGCCGGCCUGAGAGGGUGACCGGCCACAUUGGGACUGAGAUACGGCCCAGACUCCUACGGGAGGCAGCAGUGGGGAAUAUUGCACAAUGGGCGGAAGCCUGAUGCAGCAACGCCGCGUGCGGGAUGACGGCCUUCGGGUUGUAAACCGCUUUCGCCUGUGACGAAGCGUGAGUGACGGUAAUGGGUAAAGAAGCACCGGCUAACUACGUG
rnacentral:rRNA from 1 species